UGAAAAUCUACAGGAGGGUAGCUCUCCAGGAACAGGUUGUACUGUCAUGGGCCCUCACAGAAACUCACUGGCUUCGAUGACAGGCAUGGAGCUGCCUUGCCCCUCAAAGACUGGCUUGAUGAUCUCUGAGUCACACACCGCGUAGACCUUCUGGCUCUCAACACACAACAGGCAUUGUCCAGAUGGUGGGGGGGGGAUGGUGGGGCAGGGAGGCAGGGGAGCCAUUUCACCUCGUGACCACAGAGUCAAAUGAUCCGUCCAAUGGUCAUAAACAGACUCAAUAUUUUGGCAUUGAGUAUCGUUACAGAGGUAACAGACAGGGGAGGUCUUCUGAGCUGCAAGAGAGAAUACAACAGGAAGAGAGCUAGUUAAACAGAGACCCCAGACAAUAUUAAAUAUCAAAGUUACUACACUUAGUUUUAGAUCAGUCUGGGUCAAAACACUACUAUACAUACUCACUGUGCUUUAAUAUAGGAAUCAUUUUAUGGAAUUAUGGAAUUAAAAUGCCCAGAUUGAAUGGUGAGAUCAAGUUGUCACCACUUUCAUAUUUCACUUUGAAACAUUCACUGACUGAUCCCUGUUUCAGCACCAAUACUUUGUGUAAAUCUGUGAAACUGUGACAAGGUUUGAAAAACCUAAAUGUCGGGGAGAAGUGGCUUAUUUACAGUGUAUAAAAGUACAGUAUUCAUUUCGUUUUUGACACUAUAAUGAACACAUGCAUGGCAGGCAUGAGAACAGCUCACCUUCAAAAGAAGUGCCAGAUACAGCCCAGCCAGCCAGACAUAGAGCCAGGAAGACUGUAAGAAAAAAAAACAAGGGCUCAUGCAUGUGGAUGUCAGUACAGUACAAACACCCACUCAUCGUCUUGUUAACGGUUUCUCACUUACAGUAAUCUAUAUAUGACUAAAACUCAAAAUGCAUUGUUGACUUACUUGGAAGUAUCGAUCCAUUCAUGUUUGGAUGUUUCUGUGGAGUAUCUGCAAAUUAAAAAAUUAAAAAUUAAAACAUUUAGUCUAAACAUUAUGUAAACCUUUGCUACCAUUCAUCAUUCUAAUGUCCUCGAGUACUGAGCAGGUGGAUCUAGGGGUGUGGCGUUACAAAUAUUUUGACAACACAACAAUGAUUCCCCCAGUCAUGAAGAUGGAUAUAUCAUAUUCUAGUAGGCUAUAGUCUAGUCCCCACUGGACUGAUCAUCCCCAGGGGUCUGUUUUAGAAGGGUUCUGAGUCUGUGUGUGUGUGUGGGACAUCAACCAACCUCAGAGAUAUCUAUUUUAGCCCCAUGGUUUCAUGAUCCCUCCGCUGUACCUCACCUACCCUAAAGCUCAGUUUUAUAAAAUGUUAAUAAUAGGCCUUCAUUUAUCCUGGUUAGUCUUAUUGAGACAAUUAAAAAACGCAACAACCAACCUCAGUUCAAUAUUGCAGAUCUAUUCUUCUCUUCCGUAUUGUAAUAUGAACCUUCAGACAAGCAUGUAUGUGACAUUUCGUCUAUGUUUUGGUGUAACACAAUAGCACACUCAAGUCGUGAAAAUAAGUGUAACCGAUGUGAAAUGGCUAGUUAGUUAGCGGUGGUGCGCGCUAAUAGCGUUUCAAUCAGUGACGUCGUUGUGUUGUAAGGGCCGCGGCUUUUGUGGCGCGAUGGGUAACGAUGCUUCGUGGGUGUCGGUUGUUGAUGUGUGCAAGGGUCCCUGGUUCGAGCCCAGGUUGGGGCGAAGAGAGGGACGGAACCUACGCUGUUACAUAUGCAUAAAUAGUAUUUCAGCAGAUUUCGUGCAUUUUUGUGUGGCUUAAUUUGUGUGAAAAUACAUUUUUUGUGCGACUUCAUUCAUAGGAAAAUACCUUUUUUUUGUGGGCAAACUUCGGAACAAUCUUUUGAAACGUAUUGGAGCAAAGCAUUUUGGGCAAUGGUGUUGUACACUGCCUUUUUUGUAUUCCACAUGUUAACAACCCAAUAUUGUUAAUCAAACAGGUUGUCAACGAAUUAAAUAUAAUAUAAUAAUAGCCUUACAGGUUUUAUUUUUAUUAAUGCCAAUGCUGUUUUCUCUGCUUGUUUUCGCUUAAUAUUUUGGGAUACUGUUGCUAUGUCCGAUUUUAUGAGGGUUUCCAGACUGGAGUGUAAACCUGUAUUUGUAUGUUAUUUUUAAGGUAUCAAUGAAGGUAUUUCAUUGGUGAAUGGGGAUACAUUUGCAUGACGGUAAAUGAAUUUAUCAAUAAAUAUGGGGAAACAGAAGACCUGCAAAAAAUAAUAUGUUUGGUUUAAAUGUCCCUGUUGCAACUGCCUGGUAUUUGCAAUUAUAACGAGUCUGGACUAUGAUCUAUUAAGCCAUAUCAAUGUAGUUAGACAUGUUAAUGUAAAAUAAUGAAUUAUGUUGGCUUACACUUAUGGCACUUCCAAGGCCGUUUCAUGAUGGUUAUUACGGUCGUGUCAAUCAGGUUAUAUACUUAGGCUGUUGUAACAAGGCAUAUGCCAGCAUUGUAGACCUACUGCCUCUGCCCAGAGGACUACUAGGCUUUCAUGGCAACGACCGUUAAGAGUUCACUUUGCCACGUAUGAGCCCUGGUUAGAGUCGCUGUUGCAUCUUUCACUUUCUUCCACUACAUUGGUGGCAGCGUUAGGAUCACGUCCAGCUCAUGUCUAGUUAUGUGAACCAGUGGUGAGAAUCAUUCUGGGUUUCAACAUUUAUUCAGAAGGAAAUCCUCUGUGACUGUCUAAUUUACAUCAGUUAACUUACCAGUGUGGAACCAAAACAAACACAUUCUACACAUUUAUAAAUGACCUGUUUUAAAGUGUUCUUACAACCAUGUUGUUCUGUUGUUACUGAAGCUUAUAUAUCUAAUAACCUGACAAUGAUCCGCAUCAUAUUGGUAGACAAAUAAUGUGUGUUACGCAGAAAAACACAGCUAUGCUUUUUUUUUAGGAUGCAAACCACUAAUAUGAUUCACUAGUCUACUUCCGCAUGGCAAGCGGUACGGAAGUGCCAAAGUCUAGGACAAAAAGGCUUCUCAACAGUUUUUAUCCCCAAGCCAUAAGACUCCUGAACAGAAAAUCAAAUGGCUACCCGGACUAUUUGCAUUGUGUGCCCCCCCACCCCCAACCCCUCUUUUUACGCUGCUGCUACUCUCUGUUUAUCAUAUAUGCAUAAUCACUUUAACUAUACAUUCAUGUACAUACUUCCUCAAUCAGCCUGACUAACCGGUGUCUGUACUUUUAUAGCCUCGCUACUUACCGGUGCCUCGAUACUUGUAUAGCCUCGCUACUGUAUAUAGCCUGUCUUUUUACUGUUGUUUUAUUUCUUUACCUACCUAUUGUUCACCUAAUACCUUUUUUUUUUGCACUAUUGGUUAGAGCCUGUAAUUAAGCAUUUCACUGUAAGGUCUACACUUGUUGUAUUCGGCGCACGUGACAAAUAAACUUUGAUUUGAUUUGAUCCAUCCCGUUCUGAUCUAAUGAGAGGGAUGUAGGAUUUUCUACGGGCUAGAAUCGAGGCCUUUCCCAGUCAUGAAGUACGAAGCUAUAGGCCCCUGUUGGUUCUCAUUGGCAAAGGCUGAACUCAAGUUAUGUCAGAUUCUCCUAUACCACUUUGCCUAACAUCUUAUACCCCAGAGGUUGUAAAUAAACCCUUUUUUAAAGGUGAUAUAACUUGUAUCAUUAUUAUAGGGCUGUGAAACCUAUAGCCGAAUGGCUUCAGACUGAGCAUUUCUCACCAUCUAUUUACACAUUGCAAUUUUCGUUUUAUAACAGGUAGUGUCCAUUUAUUUACAGUAGUGAACUAUUACUUUCUUCAGUGGAAAUACAGAAUAUAUAUAAAACUGUCAAAUAUACCAAAGCUAAAUCAAGUAGAGAACUACAAACAUUUAACCAGUUAAAGAUAAUGAAUACAUGACAACUAGAAUAUUUUAUUAUAAAUAAUGAAUACAAAAGAGUUGGCUAUAACAGUACAAACAAAGUGAGUGUGUGUAUAUGUGUGUUAGUGUUUGUGUGUGCAUGAUCAUUUCCAAUCAUACAACUGUAUCUCCAUUCCCCAAUUGAAUACCUUCAUUGUUAACACAAAAUAUAUAUAUACUGUAUGUAUAUCUUUUUGGGUCCUAUCUGACAACCCUCAUAAAGUUCGACAUAGCCUUGUAUAAAAUGCAUUAUGAAAGAAAUGGUGUAAUGUACACGUGGAGCCUUGUAUUAAAUGCAUUAUGAAGAAAAUGUUUUCAUGUAUGAUGAUGGCCUACUUUAUAAUAAGGUGGUAGGCCUAAUUUGGUGUUUUACGAAUUAAAAAAUGUAAGUGUAUUAUACAAUUAUUUUAUACAAUAGGCUUCAUGUCGGUACCAACUUUCAUUCAGAAACGAAGGCUUAAUAAUAAUAAUAAUAAAA
rnacentral:lncRNA from 1 species